rnacentral:rRNA from 1 species
GACGAACGCUGGCGGCGUGCUUAACACAUGCAAGCCGAGCGGUAAGGCCCUUUCGGGGGUACGACGAGCGGCGAACGGGUGAGUAACACGUGGGUGACCUGCCCUCAGCUCUGGGAGUAAGCCCGGGAAACUGGGUCUAAUACCGGAUAUGACUCCAUGACGCAUGUUGUGGGGUGGAAAGCCUUGUGCGGCUGAGGAUGGGCCCGCGGCCUAUCAGCUUGUUGGUGGGGUGAGGCCUACCAAGGCGACGACGGGUAGCCGGCCUGAGAGGGCGACCGGCCACACUGGGACUGAGACACGGCCCAGACUCCUACGGGAGGCAGCAGUGGGGAAUCUUGCGCAAUGGGCGAAAGCCUGACGCAGCGACGCCGCGUGAGGGAUGACGGCCU